rnacentral:rRNA from 1 species
AUUGAACGCUGGCGGCAUGCCUUACACAUGCAAGUCGAACGGCAGCACGGGAGCAAUCCUGGUGGCGAGUGGCGAACGGGUGAGUAAUAUAUCGGAACGUGCCCAGUCGUGGGGAUAACGUAGCGAAAGCUACGCUAAUACCGCAUACGAUCUAUGGAUGAAAGCGGGGGAUCGCAAGACCUCGCGCGAUUGGAGCGGCCGAUAUCAGAUUAGGUAGUUGGUGAGGUAAAGGCUCACCAAGCCAACGAUCUGUAGCUGGUCUGAGAGGACGACCAGCCACACUGGAACUGAGACACGGUCCAGACUCCUACGGGAGGCAGCAGUGGGGAAUUUUGGACAAUGGGCGCAAGCCUGAUCCAGCAAUGCCGCGUGCAGGAUGAAGGCCUUCGGUUGUAGACUGC